rnacentral:rRNA from 1 species
UUUUAUGAGAGUUUGAUCCUGGCUCAGGACGAACGCUGGCGGCGUGCCUAAUACAUGCAAGUCGAACGCUUCUUUUUCCACCGGAGCUUGCUCCACCGGAAAAAGAGGAGUGGCGAACGGGUGAGUAACACGUGGGUAACCUGCCCAUCAGAAGGGGAUAACACUUGGAAACAGGUGCUAAUACCGUAUAACAAUCGAAACCGCAUGGUUUUGAUUUGAAAGGCGCUUUCGGGUGUCGCUGAUGGAUGGACCCGCGGUGCAUUAGCUAGUUGGUGAGGUAACGGCUCACCAAGGCGACGAUGCAUAGCCGACCUGAGAGGGUGAUCGGCCACAUUGGGACUGAGACACGGCCCAAACUCCUACGGGAGGCAGCAGUAGGGAAUCUUCGGCAAUGGACGAAAGUCUGACCGAGCAACGCCGCGUGAGUGAAGAAGGUUUUCGGAUCGUAAAACUCUGUUGUUAGAGAAGAACAAGGAUGAGAGUAACUGUUCAUCCCUUGACGGUAUCUAACCAGAAAGCCACGGCUAACUACGUGCCAGCAGCCGCGGUAAUACGUAGGCGGCAAGCGUUGUCCGGAUUUAUUGGGCGUAAAGCGAGCGCAGGCGGUUUCUUAAGUCUGAUGUGAAAGCCCCCGGCUCAACCGGGGAGGGUCAUUGGAAACUGGGAGACUUGAGUGCAGAAGAGGAGAGUGGAAUUCCAUGUGUAGCGGUGAAAUGCGUAGAUAUAUGGAGGAACACCAGUGGCGAAGGCGGCUCUCUGGUCUGUAACUGACGCUGAGGCUCGAAAGCGUGGGGAGCAAACAGGAUUAGAUACCCUGGUAGUCCACGCCGUAAACGAUGAGUGCUAAGUGUUGGAGGGUUUCCGCCCUUCAGUGCUGCAGCUAACGCAUUAAGCACUCCGCCUGGGGAGUACGACCGCAAGGUUGAAACUCAAAGGAAUUGACGGGGGCCCGCACAAGCGGUGGAGCAUGUGGUUUAAUUCGAAGCAACGCGAAGAACCUUACCAGGUCUUGACAUCCUUUGACCACUCUAGAGAUAGAGCUUCCCCUUCGGGGGCAAAGUGACAGGUGGUGCAUGGUUGUCGUCAGCUCGUGUCGUGAGAUGUUGGGUUAAGUCCCGCAACGAGCGCAACCCUUAUUGUUAGUUGCCAUCAUUUAGUUGGGCACUCUAGCAAGACUGCCGGUGACAAACCGGAGGAAGGUGGGGAUGACGUCAAAUCAUCAUGCCCCUUAUGACCUGGGCUACACACGUGCUACAAUGGGAAGUACAACGAGUCGCAAAGUCGCGAGGCUAAGCUAAUCUCUUAAAGCUUCUCUCAGUUCGGAUUGUAGGCUGCAACUCGCCUACAUGAAGCCGGAAUCGCUAGUAAUCGCGGAUCAGCACGCCGCGGUGAAUACGUUCCCGGGCCUUGUACACACCGCCCGUCACACCACGAGAGUUUGUAACACCCGAAGUCGGUGAGGUAACCUUUUGGAGCCAGCCGCCUAAGGUGGGAUAGAUGAUUGGGGUGAAGUCGUAACAAGGUAGCCGUAUCGGAAGGUGCGGCUGGAUCACCUCCUUUCUAAGGAA